rnacentral:rRNA from 1 species
CUAUAGGGGUUUGAUCCUGGCUCAGAUUGAACGCUGGCGGCAUGCCUUACACAUGCAAGUCGAACGGCAGCACGGGAGCAAUCCUGGUGGCGAGUGGCGAACGGGUGAGUAAUACAUCGGAACGUGCCCAGUAGUGGGGGAUAACCCGGCGAAAGCCGGACUAAUACCGCAUACGACCUACGGGUGAAAGCGGGGGAUCGCAAGACCUCGCGCUAUCGGAGCGGCCGAUGUCAGAUUAGCUUGUUGGUGGGGUAAAAGCCUACCAAGGCGACGAUCUGUAGCUGGUCUGAGAGGACGACCAGCCACACUGGGACUGAGACACGGCCCAGACUCCUACGGGAGGCAGCAGUGGGGAAUUUUGGACAAUGGGCGCAAGCCUGAUCCAGCCAUGCCGCGUGCGGGAAGAAGGCCUUCGGGUUGUAAACCGCUUUUGUCGGGGAAGAAACGCUCCAGAUUAAUACCUUGGAGUAAUGACGGUACCCGAAGAAUAAGCACCGGCUAACUACGUGCCAGCAGCCGCGGUAAUACGUAGGGUGCGAGCGUUAAUCGGAAUUACUGGGCGUAAAGCGUGCGCAGGCGGUUUGUUAAGACAGAUGUGAAAUCCCCGGGCUUAACCUGGGAACUGCAUUUGUGACUGGCAAGCUAGAGUAUGGCACAGGGGGGUAGAAAUCCACGUGUAGCAGUGAAAUGCGUACAGAUGUGGAGGGAUACCGAUGGCGAAGCAGCCCCCUGGG